rnacentral:piRNA from 1 species
UGGGAUUACAAGUGUUACUAGAAACUGCU